AGUGAACGCUGGCGGUAGGCCUAACACAUGCAAGUCGAACGGCAGCACAGUAAGAGCUUGCUCUUAAGGGUGGCGAGUGGCGGACGGGUGAGGAAUACAUCGGAAUCUACUUUUUCGUGGGGGAUAACGUAGGGAAACUUACGCUAAUACCGCAUACGACCUACGGGUGAAAGCAGGGGAUCUUCGGACCUUGCGCGAUUGAAUGAGCCGAUGUCGGAUUAGCUAGUUGGCGGGGUAAAGGCCCACCAAGGCGACGAUCCGUAGCUGGUCUGAGAGGAUGAUCAGCCACACUGGAACUGAGACACGGUCCAGACUCCUACGGGAGGCAGAAGUGGGGAAUAUUAGACAAUGGGCGCAAGCCUGAUCCAGCCAUACCGCGUGGGUGAAGAAGGCCUUCGGGUUGUAAAGCCCUUUUGUUGGGAAAGAAAAGCAGCAGGUUAAUACCCCGCUGUUCUGACGGUACCCAAAGAAUAAGCACCGGCUAACUUCG
rnacentral:rRNA from 1 species